rnacentral:rRNA from 1 species
CAGUCGCCACGGGAAUACGUAGGUGGCAAGCGUCGUCCGGAAUUAUUGGGCGUAAAGGGCUCGCAGGCGGUUUCUUAAGUCUGAUGUGAAAGCCCCCGGCUCAACCGGGGAGGGUCAUUGGAAACUGGGAAACUUGAGUGCAGAAGAGGAGAGUGGAAUUCCACGUGUAGCGGUGAAAUGCGUAGAGAUGUGGAGGAACACCAGUGGCGAAGGCGACUCUCUGGUCUGUAACUGACGCUGAAGAGCGAAAGCGUGGGGAGCGAACAGGAUUAGAUACCCCCGUAGUCCCUGUCUCUUAUAC